rnacentral:lncRNA from 1 species
AACUCUCCUUCUUCCCCUAGGUGAUCCCGCCGAGCACGACUAUUGUUGUAGGCUAUCUCUUCCGGACGGUGAUAUUCUUGCACAAGUCGGUCCAUGACUCUAUGUUUCCUUCAGGGAGCCUGUUUCAACUAAAUCAUAGUCAGUAUGAUUAAAGAUAGUGUGAAGAGAUUACACUUUGCAUUAUCAUCAACAUGAUAGUUAUCUAAACAAUCAUCGACAUGUUGUACAUGCUCAUUC